AACAUGAUAACCAAAUCUCAAGUAUAUAAGAAAAUUUAGGCAGCAUUUAGCGGACAGGGACAAAAGGAGUCACACAUGAUGCCUAUCUAUCUGAUUUCUCAACGAGAUAAAAGCAAAAUUAAGGUAUACACAGAAACAAUCCCUCUACCUCUCUUUGUAACUUGUAGGGUGGAGAGGGUAUUGAAAGAUAACAUUUACCAAGGUUCUUUAUCUAAAGUGGAUAUGCUUAUCUUGCCUCUAAAAGAAUGCAGAUUAAUUGAAAAUUGUGAACAUUAUUAUGUCACUCUUCAAUUGAAAUGUUUGUAGAAUCACUAGGUCGAUUCAUUUCACUUUGUAACUGCUAAUGAACUAUACAAGCUAUUCUACCUGGAUAGGUAAUUUCAACUGCCAUCAUGAAACACAUCCAUCAUGAAUGUCUUCUCUCCUAUAAAAGCAAUUGAACACAUACCCAUCUAAGUGCAAUGAAAAAUAUUUGUUAAAAAUUAACAUUGUAGUGCUGCUACACAAUAAAAUUUGACACUAUAAUCCCUCGUAUGGAAACCCAAAAGAGACCUCUUCCAAGGAAAAACUACGACACAGCAUCUUUAGUUGAACAGGACAACUAGGUCUCUCAAUCCAACCUAAAGAAACUCUAUUACUCUUGAAUUUCUCUAUUGUUUGUUGAACAAUUGCCUUUUCAUCAGCCUCCUCAUGGCAUUCCCAUCCUUGGGAAGUAUAAAAGAUAAAGUACUACUACUUUUAUCUUCUUCUUUUUUCCAUCAGAUGCAAUGCAUAUAUUCUGAAGUAUGUGUUGCCAUUAGGAGAUGGCAAAUUUUGACCCAAAAAAAAAAGUAAAAACAAUACAAAAAAUGCAUUUUAGCAUAAAUCCAAGGUUUUACAUAGUGACCAGUUUGUAUAGUGUAAGUAGUUCAGACCUUUUUCACAAUGGAUCAAUCAAUGUCAACUUUAAACUGUUUCUGCCUCCUCCAUUAAAUGGGUUACAUAAAAUCGAGUCGAUUAGAGUGUGUAUCAAGUGGGAGGGUUGUGGGUCUGUAUUUUUGACAUGAUUAUUAAUGAGUCGAUCUAGAGUUGGGAAUUUUGCUCUAAUGUAUGCAAUUCAAGUUGACAUGACCUGAUGAUACCAAUAUCCAUGACUCAUCUGUAUAUUAUCCCUUUUCCCUCAUCUCUUCUGAUAUCCUUUCCUUAAUAGUGACAAUGAGUCUUCUUCACUAGCAACAUUGUCCGAGUCUAACUGAUUCUAGACCAGUUUGUUGAACAAUUGCCUUUUCAUCAGCCUCCUCAUGGCAUUCCCAUCCUUGGGAAGUAUAAAAGAUAAAGUACUACUACUUUUAUCUUCUUCUUUUUUCCAUCAGAUGCAAUGCAUAUAUUCUGAAGUAUGUGUUGCCAUUAGGAGAUGGCAAAUUUUGACCCCAAAAAAAAAGUAAAAACAAUACAAA
rnacentral:lncRNA from 1 species